GUGGGGAAUAUUGGACAAUGGGCGAAAGCCUGAUCCAGCCAUGCCGCGUGUGUGAAGAAGGUCUUCGGAUUGUAAAGCACUUUAAGUUGGGAGGAAGGGCAGUAAGUUAAUACCUUGCUGUUUUGACGUUACCGACAGAAUAAGCACCGGCUAACUUCGUGCCAGCAGCCGCGGUAACACGAAGGGUGCAAGCGUUAAUCGGAAUUACUGGGCGUAAAGCGCGCGUAGGUGGUUUUGUAAGUAGGAGGUGAAAUCCACGGGCUCAACCUGGGAACGGCCUCCAAAACUGCAUGACUAGGUUACGGUAGAGGGUAGUGGAAUUUCCUGUGUAGCGGUGAAAUGCGUAGAUAUAGGAAGGAACACCAGUGGCGAAGGCGACUACCUGGACUGAUACUGACACUGAGGUGCGAAAGCGUGGGGAGCAAACAGGAUUAGAUACCCGAGUAGUCC
rnacentral:rRNA from 1 species